AAUAUUGUUCAAUGGAGGCAACUCUGAACCAGCCACGUGUCGUGAAGGAUGACGGCCCCACGGGUUGUAUACGCCUUUUAUACAGGAAUAAAGUGAGUCACGCGUGACUGUUUGUAUGUACUGUAUGAAUAAGGAUCGGCUAAUUCUGUGCUGGCAGCCGCGGUAAUACGGAGGAUCCAAGCGUUAUCCGGAUUUUUUGGGUUUAAAGGGGGCGCAGGCGGAAGAUUAAGUCGGCGGUGAAAUUUUGCAGCUCAACUGUAAAAGUGCCAUCGAUACUGGUUUUCUUGAGUGUGGAUGAAGUAGGCGGAAUUUGUGGUGUAGCGGUGAAAUGCAUAAAUAUCACGAGGAACUCCGAUUGCGCAGGCAGCUUACUAGGCCAUAACUGACGCUCAGGCACGAAGGCGUGGGGAUCAAACAGG
rnacentral:rRNA from 1 species